CCCCCCCCCCCCACCCGUCCAUCACGCACCUUCCUUCCUCCCCACUUAAAAGCUGAAGUGCUUCUCGUCUCGCCGUCUUUGCCGGAGCAGGCGAACCAGAGAGAGAGGUGGAGUCUAAAGAAGUAGCGUUCCAUCACUUUGAACUUGGUGACUGAAGUUCUUUAGGAGAGAAGAGAGUUGCUCUGUGUCCCCGGAAAGCGGUGUAAGGAUGAGUGGCCGCUGGGAAUCUCCCCCUUUUCCCGGUGCUAUCCGUUUUGUUGCUGAGUGCCCUCUGGAGGUCUUGGACACGCAGCGACCCGGGCUAUCGAGGCUGUGUCUGAGCUUUUCAGGACUCCUUGCUUCAAAGUUCUCGUUGGGGCUAAAGGGAAACUGCUAAAAUACCCUUUGAGCCUCUUCUUGCAAGAUAUAUCAGAGAUCUCAGGGGAAGCCUGUUUUCCUUAUUCUUCCAGCCAAGUUCUGUAGCCAGAGGAACUCUGGAUAACUUCAAUGAGUUUUUUUGCUGUGGGAUUCUGCAGCCCUGUAGAGGAGGGAGGGCUGUACCUGCACUGAACAGGCUGUGAAGUUUUUGCUGUCAGGACUGAAUUUUGUGUUCACCCAGUCAAGGAGUAGAAGCAUAUUCCAGAGAUGGAUUGCUUCUAAGUAAUAGACUUCUGAGUGUACAGAUUCAUAAAUGCCAUAAUGGAAGGACUAAAUGCCUGUACAUGCAGAACAGCUGGAUUCCAGCACUGGCAAUGCUGUUACAGAGGACUCCAGGCCUGAGAAACUCCUGAGAAGCAUGAGGAAUUUAUCAGAGCAUGGCUCAAGCACAAAUUACAUGAGUUUGUUGAAGAGAGUGACACCUACAA